rnacentral:rRNA from 1 species
CCUACGGGUGGCAGCAGUGGGGAAUAUUGCACAAUGGGGGAAACCCUGAUGCAGCGACGCCGCGUGAGUGAAGAAGUAUUUCGGUAUGUAAAGCUCUAUCAGCAGGGAAGAAAAUGACGGUACGUGAUUAAGAAGCGCCUGCUAAUUACGUGCCAGCAGCUGCGGUAAUACGAAGGGGGCACGCGUUAUCCGGAUUUACUGGGUGGAAAGGGAGCGGAGAUGGCAGCACUUGUCUGGGGUGAAAUGGCGGUGCUUAACCCCGGAACUGCUUUGGAAACUGUGCGGCUAGAGUGCAGGAGAGGUAAGUGGAAUUCCAGGUGUAGCGGUAAAAUGCGUAGAUAUUAGGAAGAACACCAGUGGCGAAGGCGGCUUACUGGACUGUAACUGACGUUGAGGCACGAAAGCGUGGGGAGCAAACAGGAUUAGAUACCCCGGUAGUC